rnacentral:misc_RNA from 1 species
UCUGGUUGCUCAUCUGGAGCACAGGAAGAAAGACAGUUCAAUAUCAACCAUCAGUGAUUUAUCAAACAUGUAACAUAUUGCUUAUAGUUUGAUUAACAGCAGAUAUCAGAGUACUCCCUCUUUUUUUUCGUUUUUUUCUGAGACAAGUUCAGAAAGUACCAUAAUUAUCAUUCACGAAAAAGUAGAGACACUCUAAAGGAGGCAUUAAGUUCAAAAAAAAGAACUUCAGUAUUUCCUGUAUGCUAGCUCUGUCACUGCCUCGGGGAGAUUCUUCUCUUUUUCAAUGCUCUGAACCCAGUUUGCAUUAAUGUGAACCCUCUCAAUGCUCUGCUUCAACGUCCUUGCAAUGUACGGCUUGGUACGGCUAGCAAAGAACUCUUCAACUUCUGUUGCCUUCUCAUAGGACGAGAACGGUGACACUGUUGCACUGAUGAAGCGCGUCAAUAGAAAUCCAGAGCCGAAGGUCUUGUGGAUAUGAUCCCAGUUUUCUUUUAACCAGUUCCAAGCAGUUUCACGGCCUUCAAAGCUAACUGCAAGACCGUAAACACAAUCUUGGCUCCUCACCUCAGAACAUAGCAAAAAGUUGAGGACUUCAAGUAUAAUCUCGGGGUCCCUGCAAGAUGCCAAUGAACCUAAAAUUCGUGUCUUUUCCUGGCUGAGGUCAGUCUCUCUGUAAAUUCUUAAAAGAGAUUCAAACCCUGAUCUAUCUGAUUUAUUCACCCUUUGCAUCACAGCUACAUAAACAGCCUUUCUCAAGUCAGGAGGAAGAACAGCUGUGUUUCUGUCAUCUAAAAAUAUGCGGAAGCGCCUGACUGCUUCAUUUAUUGUUUCACCAUGUCCAAAGGAAGCCAGAGCAUUCAGAAGUUCCCCUCUCAACAUGGCAUCUAGGUGGCUUUCCCCUUCUUUAGGAUCCCAACCAAGUCUCUCUGCAGAAAACUGGAAGAGAUUGAUGAAAAACAACUUUAUGUGAUUUUGCAAGUCAGGAACAGCCUCAGCUACAAUUCUUGCAACUUUGUAACUUAUACUGAUCAGAUUUGACAGAACAGUGUAGUCGAGCUCCUCCCUGAAAGAAGCCAUCAGGGCAAGCAAAGAUGACAAAGACUGGUGACAUGCCAUAGAUAAGGCAUAUGAGUCAUCCAAAAUGCCAUAUUUAUCAUUUGUUGACAAGACCUUUCUCUCUAUGGCAUAUCGGAGUCUAGCUGACAGCUCAUCAUCAUAUUUGACUCUAUAAAAACCUGUCUGCUCCACAUUAACUUUUAUCCAGGGAUUUCCAUUAGACGAAGAAGAGCCUAAUAAGUCCUUCACAUCAAGGGCUUCUGACUUUUCUUGCAUUAAGAAGCUUUUACGAGCUUCAUAAGAUCCACAACAAAGUGUUAACGGAACUAUCCAUUGCCCAUCACCAUGAGAACCACUCAGUAAAAAUUGUGUCUGCUCACACUCCAGCUUUUGGUCAUUUAUUUUGACAGAGACAACUGGGUAACCUUGUUGCUUUGUCCAGGAGUUCAUCAACUUGUUCACAGGUUCACCAGACUCCUCCUGAAGUACAGACCAUAGAUCCUCUGUCUUUGCAUUUGAGCAAGCAUAUUUUUUUAUGUAUGAAG